rnacentral:rRNA from 1 species
GACGAACGCUGGCGGCGUGCCUAAUACAUGCAAGUUGAGCGCUGAAGGUUGGUACUUGUACCAACUGGAUGAGCAGCGAACGGGUGAGUAACGCGUGGGGAAUCUGCCUUUGAGCGGGGGACAACAUUUGGAAACGAAUGCUAAUACCGCAUAAAAACUUUAAACACAAGUUUUAAGUUUGAAAGAUGCAAUUGCAUCACUCAAAGAUGAUCCCGCGUUGUAUUAGCUAGUUGGUGAGGUAAAGGCUCACCAAGGCGAUGAUACAUAGCCGACCUGAGAGGGUGAUCGGCCACAUUGGGACUGAGACACGGCCCAAACUGCUACGGGAGGCAGCAGUAGGGAAUCUUGGGCAAUGGACGAAAGUCUGACCGAGAAACGCCGCGUGAGUGAAGAAGGUUGUCGGAUCGUAAAACUCUGUUGGUAGAGAAGAACGUUGGUGAGAGUGGAAAGCUCAUCAAGUGACGGUAACUACCCAGAAAGGGACGGCUAACUACGUG